UACGUAGGGAGCAAGCGUUGUCCGGAAUCAUUGGGCGUAAAGAGCGCGUAGGUGGCUUUAUAAGUCCGUUGUGAAAGUCAAAGGCUCAACCUUUGAAAGCCGAUGGAUACUGUGAAGCUAGAGUACGGAAGAGGCGAGUGGAAUUCCCGGUGUAGCGGUGAAAUGCGCAGAUAUCGGGAAGGAACACCUAUGGCGAAGGCAGCUCGCUGGGACGUUACUGACGCUGAGACGCGAAAGCGUGGGGAGCAAACAGG
rnacentral:rRNA from 1 species